rnacentral:rRNA from 1 species
UACAGAGGUCUCAAGCGUUGUUCGGAUUCAUUGGGCGUAAAGGGUGCGUAGGCGGCGCGGUAAGUCGGGUGUGAAAUCUCGGAGCUUAACUCCGAAACUGCAUUCGAUACUGCCGUGCUUGAGGACUGGAGAGGAGACUGGAAUUUACGGUGUAGCGGUGAAAUGCGUAGAUAUCGGGAGGAACACCGGUGGCGAAGGCGGCGAUCUGGGUAGAUACUGACGCUGAGGUGCGAAAGCGUGGGGAGCAAACAGG